rnacentral:rRNA from 1 species
AACUGCGAGUGAAGCGGGAAAAGCUCAAAUUUAAAAUCUAAUGGCCUUUGGCCAUUCGAGUUGUAAUUUAGAGAAGCGUCUUCCGCGCCAGACCAUGUACAAGUCUCCUGGAACGGAGCGUCAUAGAGGGUGAGAAUCCCGUCUUUGACAUGGACCCUCGGUGCUUCUGUGAUGCGCUCUCAAAGAGUCGAGUUGUUUGGGAAUGCAGCUCAAAAUGGGUGGUGAACUCCAUCUAAGGCUAAAUAUUGGCGAGAGACCGAUAGCGAACAGGUACCGUGAGGGAAGGAUGAAAAGCACUUUGGAAAGAGAGUGAAACAGUACGUGAAAUUGUUGAAAGGGAAACACUUGAAGUCAGUCGCGUCGAUCGAGACUCAGCCUUGCCUCGGCUUGGUGUACUUCUCGACUUGACGGGCCAGCAUCAAUUUCGUCCCUCGGAUAAUGGCAAGUGAAAGGUGGCACCUUUUUUAAGGUGUGUAAUAGUCUCUUGUCGCCUGCGAGGGGUGGGAUUGAGGAACUCAGCACGCGCCUCGCGGCGUCGGGGCUUCGGCCC